rnacentral:tRNA from 1 species
AUCUAUGUAUUCUAAAAUGUAAGAGGCUGAAUUCUUACUUCAGUAAUGUGGGUUUCACCAUAGGUU